CGCAGCCGUCCUGGGUGACGGAGCCCCGCCGCUGGCAGUCUUAGUUGGCCAAAAAACCCACCCAAACUCUUCCUCUGUUGUGUUUUCUUCGGAAGGAAUACGCAGAUUGCCAAGGUUUUAAACUCCUUGUUUGAAACGACUGGUACGAACGUACGCAGUGCGAGUUGAGCUGAAGUUUCCAGAGUUACCAAGAGCUUUCCUGCAAAAAGACAGGGCUGUCUUUUCUAAUGGUGAUGGCAUUCCUAUUAACUACCCAGAGGAGUCAGCACGGUUUAACAUAGAGCCCCAAAGAAAUAACAUAACCCGUUCUGUGAGAGGACUGAAAGUAACCUACCUGGGAUCUAUAAACAGAGGGUGAGUUAGUAUAGAAACUCCAGGUUUCUUUGACUUUACUUUUUUUAUCAGCAACCAAUCAUAUUAAGAUAUCCUUAAGUGCUGGAAGUAAUUUUUGGUGUUUUUUUAAAAUUUUAAUGAAUUGUACAGCCCCAUAGAGCUGUGUUGUGUAUUUUGCUCUCUUGUCCAUCAUGGCAGAGGUUGGAAGAAAAUCUGUGCAUUAUUCAAAAUUUUUCUUAAUGUGUUGGGAGUUGACAGCAUCAUAAAUCCUAUGUGCGCUGAGUUGAUGAUGCAGUCUGUAGAGCUGAGAAUUUAUUAGGGAGGAUUUAUGCAAAACCUCUAAAAUUCAG
rnacentral:lncRNA from 1 species